rnacentral:tRNA from 1 species
GCCGGGGUAGCUCAGACUGGUCAGAGCGCCGGACUCAUAAUCCGGAGGUCGCGGGUUCAAGUCCCGCCCCCGGCACCA